rnacentral:rRNA from 1 species
GUAGGUGGCAAGCGUUGUCCGGAAUUAUUGGGCGUAAAGCGCGCGCAGGUGGGUUCUUUAAGUCUGAUGUGAAAGCCCCCGGGCCCAACCGGGGAGGGUCAUUGGAAACUGGGGAACUUGAGUGCAGGAGAGGAAAGUGGAAUUCCACGUGUAGCGGUGAAAUGCGUAGAUAUGUGGAGGAACACCAGUGGCGAAGGCGACUUUCUGGCCUGUAACUGACACUGAGGCGCGAAAGCGUGGGGAGCAAACAGGAUUAGAUACCCUGGUAGUCCACGCCGUAAACGAUGAGUGCUAAGUGUUGGGGGGUUUCCGCCCCUCAGUGCUGCAGCUAACGCAUUAAGCACUCCGCCUGGGGAGUACGGUCGCAAAGACUG